UUCCUGAGGGUUUGGGGCAUUUUUCCUGCGUUUCUGUUUUUUCCCAUUGACGGCUGCUGUUAUCCCGGUGUUCCCGAGGUUUUUCCCAGGAUUUUUCUCGGUGCUUUUCCAAGGAUUUUUCUCCUUGUUUCCAGAAUUUCUCCCGGUGUUUUUCCCAGGAUUUUUCUCCAUGUUCCCAGGAUUUUUCCCUGGGUUUUUCCCGGUAUUUUUCCCAGUGUUCCCAGGAUUUUCCCCAUGAUUUUUCUCUGUGUUUUUCCCAGGAUUUUUCCCGCUAUUUUCCCCGGUGUUCCUGCUAUUUUUCCCGGUAUUUUCCCUGUUCCUGGUAUUUUUCCCAGUAUUUUUCCCGCUAUUUUCCCUGGUAUUCCCGGUAUUUUCCCCAGUAUUUUCCCCAGUAUUCCCGGUAUUUUUCCUGCUAUUUUCCCUGCUAUUCCUGCUAUUUUUCCCAGUAUUUUCCCCACUAUUCCCACUAUUUUUCCUGGUAUUUUUCCCAGUAUUUUCCCCAGUAUUCCCGGUAUUUUUCCUGCUAUUUUCCCUGCUAUUCCUGCUAUUUUUCCCAGUAUUUUCCCCGCUAUUUCCACUAUUUUUCCCGCUAUUUUUCCCAGUAUUUUCCCCGCUAUUCCCGCUAUUUUUCCCCCUCCGCCGCAGCUGCCGGAAGCGGAGCCGGCGGGGGUUGAGGCCGAAGGCUUCCAGCCUCUUCCCGCUGAACUCCCGCCCCCCCAAACGCACCGUCCCACCCAGGGGGGGCCCCCCCUUCCUCCGGGGACCCCCACCAUUUUUGGGGGACCCCCCUUUGCCUUCCU
rnacentral:lncRNA from 1 species